rnacentral:rRNA from 1 species
AAAGGAAAGUUUAACGAGUGAAUUAUUGAUCCCUUCGCUGUGACGUUAAUGGAUCUAGCGGCGGACGGGUGAGUAACACGUGGGCAACCUGCCUGUAAGACUGGGAUAACUCGCGGAAACGCGAGCUAAUACCGGAUAACACUUUGAAACACACGGUUUGAAGAUGAAAGGCGGCGCAAGCCGUCACCUACCGAUGGGCCCCCGCGGAUUAACUCUAGGUGGAGAGGUAACGGCUCACCAAGGCGACGAUGCGUAGCCGACCUGAGAGGGUGAUCGGCCACACUGGGACUGAAACACGGCCCAGACUCCUACGGAGGCCAGCAGUAGGGCUCUGCGGCAAGGACCGAAGGCCGCAUGGCACCGCCGCGUGGGUAAUGCAGGUUCCGUAUUGUAACACUCUUGUUGUUAGGAAGAACCGAUGAAGUAAUGAUCUG